UACAGAGGGGGCAAGCGUUGUUCGGAAUUACUGGGCGUAAAGGGCGCGUAGGCGGCCUGUUAAGUCGAACGUGAAAUCCCUGGGCUCAACCCAGGAACUGCGUCCGAUACUGGAAGGCUUGAAUCCGGGAGAGGGAUGCGGAAUUCCAGGUGUAGCGGUGAAAUGCGUAGAUAUCAGGAGGAACACCGAUGGCGAAGGCAGGUCUCUGGGCUGAUACUGACGCUCAUGCACGAAAGCGUGGGGAGCAAACAGG
rnacentral:rRNA from 1 species